ensembl:snRNA U1 U1 spliceosomal RNA
CAAAGCACCUGACAUAGGAGAUACCACGAUCACGAAGGUGGUUUUCCCAGGGUGAGGCUUAUCCAUUGCACUCUGAAUGUGCUGACCCCUGCGAUUAUCUCAAACGUGGGAAACUCAACUGCAUAAUUUAUGGUAGUGGGGCACUACGUGUGUGCUCUCCCCUG